rnacentral:rRNA from 1 species
UACGGAGGGUGCAAGCGUUAUCCGGAUUCACUGGGUUUAAAGGGUGCGUAGGUGGCUUUGUAAGUCAGUGGUGAAAUCUUAGAGCUUAGCUCUAAAACUGCCAUUGAUACUGCUUAGCUUGAAUCAAGUCGAGGUGGAUGGAAUAUUACAUGUAGCGGUGAAAUGCUUAGAUAUGUAAUAGAACACCGAUUGCGAAGGCAGUUCACUAGGCUUGUAUUGACACUGAGGCACGAAAGCGUGGGGAUCAAACAGG